AGCUACAUUUGGUCAUCUUGAGUUUUAAUACAUUUUAUUCCGUUUAGUUCCUUUCUUCAUAAAGUGUAGAGGAGAACGGCAGUUGUCCGCAUGUAAACUUCUAGCAUUUGUCACCAAUUAGAGUACAUCGAAAUCUGUUACUGUUUCAACACCCAGGGAUGUUUCUUAAACAAUUAUUAUUUUUUCUCUCUUUUUUAGCAAUGCAUCACUCUCUACUGUCCUUAUCUAUUAUUCUAUAUUCUGCUACUCCAUCCAGAUUAUCGUGUAUACCAUGAGGGUUCGGAUUUUUUUUUUUUUUUUGGGGGGGGGGGGGUUAUUUCUGUAUUCUUUAAAUUGUUAUGUCACGUUUCCUCCGUGACUUUUUUCCUUUUACCUUUUAUUUAUCUUACUCAUUAUUCUUUCUCUAUUCUUUAUAUUUUAGCAUCCCAAUAUAUUUUACUUACUGAUGUUUAGUUACAUUACGAUGUUUAUCUCUGAUCUAUAUACUGGUUACCAAUGUAGAUGACAAAUUGGUGUCAUUCAUGACAAUUAAA
rnacentral:lncRNA from 1 species